UGCGAGGGGGGCAAGCGUUGUUCGGAAUUACUGGGCGUAAAGCGUGCGCAGGCGGUUCGCUAAGACCGAUGUGAAAUCCCCGGGCUUAACCUGGGAACUGCAUUGGUGACUGGCGGGCUAGAGUAUGGCAGAGGGGGGUAGAAUUCCACGUGUAGCAGUGAAAUGCGUAGAGAUGUGGAGGAAUACCGAUGGCGAAGGCAGCCCCCUGGGCCAAUACUGACGCUCAUGCACGAAAGCGUGGGGAGCAAACAGG
rnacentral:rRNA from 1 species